rnacentral:tRNA from 1 species
GGGGAUUUGGCUCAGUGGCAGAGCGCUUGCCUAGGAAGCACAAGGCCCUGGGUUCAGUCCCUAGCUCCA